rnacentral:rRNA from 1 species
GACGAACGCUGGCGGCGUGCUUAACACAUGCAAGUCGAACGAAGUGGCGAACGGGUGAGUAAUACGUGGGUAACCUGCCCUCCUUUUUGGGAUAAGCCUUUGAAACCGGGUCUAAUACCGAAUAACGGGGGAUGGGCUCGCGGCCUAUCAGCUUGUUGGUGGGGUGAUGGCCUACCAAGGCGGUGACGGGUAGCUGGCCUGGGAGGGUGACAGGCCACAUGGGGACUGAGAUACGGCCCAGAAGCCUACGGGAGGAAGCAGUGGGGGAUAUUGCACAAUGGGCGAAAGCCUGAUGCAGCGACGCCGCGUGGGGGAUGAAGGCCUUAGGGUUGUAAAGUACUUUCAGCGGGGAGGCGUUACCCGCAGAAGAAGCACCGGCUAACUCCGUGCCAGCAGCCGCGGUAAUAC